rnacentral:sRNA from 1 species
UCGUAGGCGCCUUGCGCCUC